GGGCCGCCCAGCGCGUCGUCCGGCGCGCAGCGGGGCCGGUGGUGGCAGCUGUGGCUGGCUUCGUUGCGUGAGCCGCGGGGACCACGUCCGCUCCCUCCGCCCUUCGCCCUUCGCCUCAUCCCGGCCUCCGCGGCACGACGCCGGCCGUCAUGGUGCUGUCGGCGCGCCCUGCGCGGCCCCGCUGAGCCUCGGUGCGGCGGCGAGCGCGGCUUGGGGUCACCAUGCCUACCCGAGUAUGUUGCUGCUGUUCUGCUUUGCGUCCUCGAUAUAAACGCCUGGUGGACAACAUAUUCCCUGAAGAUCCAAAAGUAAUUUGAUCUACAUCUACUGAUCCUUCUCUUUGCUGACCCAUUCUGCCCCCCUGCUGACCUCCCUAAGGAUGGCCUUGUGAAAGCUGAUAUGGAGAAAUUGACAUUUUAUGCAGUAUCUGCUCCAGAGAAACUGGAUCGCAUUGGUUCUUACCUGGCAGAAAGGUUGAGCAGGGAUGUUGUCAGGCAUCGUUCUGGGUACGUUUUAAUUGCUAUGGAGGCAUUGGACCAACUUCUUAUGGCUUGCCAUUCCCAAAGCAUCAAGCCAUUUGUAGAAAGUUUUCUUCAUAUGGUGGCAAAGCUGCUGGAAUCAGGGGAACCAAAGCUUCAAGUUCUUGGAACAAAUUCUUUUGUUAAAUUUGCAAAUAUUGAAGAAGAUACACCAUCCUAUCACAGACGUUAUGAUUUUUUUGUAUCUCGAUUCAGUGCCAUGUGUCACUCCUGUCAUAGUGAUCCAGAAAUACGAACAGAAAUCCGAAUUGCUGGAAUCAGGGGUAUCCAAGGUGUGGUUCGCAAAACAGUUAAUGAUGAACUUCGGGCUACCAUUUGGGAACCUCAACAUAUGGAUAAAAUUGUUCCAUCCCUCCUGUUUAACAUGCAAAAGAUAGAAGAAGUUGACAGUCGCAUAGGCCCUCCUUCUUCUCCUUCCGCAGCUGACAAAGAAGAGAAUCCUGCUGUGCUGGCUGAGAACUGUUUCAGAGAACUGCUAGGGCGAGCUACUUUUGGAAAUAUGAAUAAUGCUGUUAGACCAGUUUUUGCGCAUUUAGAUCAUCACAAACUGUGGGAUCCCAAUGAAUUUGCAGUUCACUGCUUUAAAAUUAUAAUGUAUUCCAUUCAGGCUCAGUAUUCUCACCAUGUGAUCCAGGAGAUUCUAGGGCACCUUGAUGCUCGUAAAAAUGAUUCUCCACGGGUUCGAGCAGGUAUUAUUCAGGUUCUGUUAGAGGCUGUCGCCAUUGCUGCUAAAGGUUCCAUAGGGCCCACAGUGCUGGAAGUUUUUAAUACCCUUUUGAAGCACCUGCGUCUCAGUGUUGAAUUUGAAGCAAAUUAUUUACAGGGGGGAUCUGUAGGCAGUGGCAACUUAAGCACAAGUUCCAAAGACAAUGAUGAGAAGAUUGUGCAGAACGCUAUCAUCCAAACAAUAGGAUUUUUUGGAAGUAACCUGCCAGAUUAUCAGAGGUCGGAAAUCAUGAUGUUCAUUAUGGGUAAAGUACCUGUUUUUGGAACAUCUACCCAUAUUUUGGAUAUCAGUCAACUAGGGGAUUUGGGAACCAGGCGGAUUCAGAUAAUGUUGCUGAGAUCUUUACUUAUGGUAACCUCUGGAUACAAAGCAAAGACAAUUGUUACUGCGCUACCAGGGUCUUUUCUGGAUCCUUUGUUAUCACCGUCUCUCAUGGAAGACUCUGAACUGAGACAGUUAGUCUUGGAAGUAAUGCACAAUCUCAUGGAUCGCCAUGACAAUAGGGCAAAGCUCCGAGGGAUCAGAAUAAUACCAGAUGUGGCUGACCUAAAGAUAAAAAGAGAAAAAAUUUGUAGACAAGAUACAAGUUUCAUGAAAAAGAAUGGGCAACAGCUAUAUAGGCACAUAUAUUUGGGCUGUAAAGAGGAAGACAAUGUUCAGAAAAACUAUGAGCUACUUUAUACUUCUCUUGCUCUUAUAACUAUUGAACUGGCCAAUGAAGAAGUGGUUAUUGAUCUCAUUCGAUUGGCUAUUGCUUUACAGGACAGUGCGAUAAUCAAUGAGGAUAAUUUGCCAAUGUUCCAUCGUUGUGGAAUCAUGGCACUGGUUGCAGCAUACCUCAACUUUGUAAGUCAGAUGAUAGCUGUCCCUGCAUUUUGCCAGCAUGUUAGCAAGGUUAUUGAAAUUCGAACUAUGGAAGCCCCUUAUUUUCUACCAGAGCAUAUUUUCAGAGAUAAGUGCAUGCUUCCAAAAUCUUUAGAAAAGCAUGAAAAAAAUUUGUACUUUCUGACCAACAAAAUUGCAGAGUCACUAGGUGGAAGCGGAUAUAGUGUUGAGAGAUUGUCAGUGCCAUACGUACCACAAGUGACAGAUGAAGAUCGACUUUCUAGAAGAAAAAGUAUUGUGGACACCGUCUCCAUUCAGGUGGAUAUUUUAUCCAACAGCGUUCCUUCUGAUGAUGUGAACAAAGGAACUGAAGAUCCCCAAGUUUAAUCUGACUUCAACUAGAAAUAUGAACCCUCAGUAGAAAAACUGAGGUAGUGGAACUCUUGCUGCUUGACUUCCAGCUAAAGCCUUUGUAUUACAGAGAAGCUAAGGUGCAAAGCAUGAAGUCUUUUGCUUUCGUUAGUCUUGCUGCUUUAGGCUUAGCAAAAGAAGCUCAUGAGCUAAAAUUAGGGAUGACCAGAGUUCCAGGUUAGUAACACUGAAGAAAUCACCUUUGAAGCAUUGAAGAAAGCAAUUGAUACCAAUGGCAUGGAAGAGCAAGAAAAGGAAAAGAGGCGUCUUGUGAUAGAGAAAUUUCAGAAAGCACCUUUUGAAGAAAUAGCAGCACAGUGUGAAUCCAAAGCAAAUUUGCUUCAUGAUAGACUUGCUCAAAUAUUGGAACUCACCAUACGUCCUCCUCCCAGUCCAUCAGGAACACUGACCAUUACUUCUGGGCAUGCCCAAUACCAAUCUGUCCCAGUCUAUGAGAUGAAGUUUCCAGAUCUUUGUGUGUACUGAGUGGCUCAUGGAGACCUCAGCAUCGGAUUUGAAACUCUUAAAAUUAAGGCCAAGCUGAGCUUUCAGGAUUUACUUAAUGCAUAUUAACAUACUUCUUGAAAAUUAUGAUGGAACCUACCUUUAAACCAAAUGCUUGGCAUAUCAUAUUAGAAGUUUUGGAGCUAUAUAUAUUUUAGAGUACUUUUGAAGAUAGAUUUAUGCCAUGUUAAUUUGCUUUGAGGUUCCUAUUGGCUUUUAAAGUUGAAUAUAUAUUGAUCUUAUUCCCUUGUUAAACAGUAUAUUUUAAACUUUUCACAAAUGUAAUUUUUUUUUUUUUUAAAGUAAGCCUUCAGAGAAUUGAAAAUGUUUCAAGUGUCUACUGUAUUUCUUAAACAUCAACACAACUGCUUAGAAAUAGCAUUGCUUUUGGUUUUGGUUCUCUGCAAAAGCAGAUAUGUUCAAAUAUAUUCCUAAUCCUGGGCCUGCAAAACUAUUCUAUGGCUUUGUGUCCCCAUGCAUUGGAUAAGUUGUGAUAGGUGUCCCUCUGUUCAUUUACUAUAAUAACAUGUGAUAGGCAUUCCUCAUCUUGUUCACAGUAAUAAGACAUCUAUUGAAUAGCAUUCCUACAAUAUGAUCCUAAAAAUUGCCAUACCUGAAAGCAUCUAGUUCUUGUAAUAAUGUGUUUCCUACCGAGAGUUUGAUCAUUCUGCUUGAGAGGCAUAGAGCUUACUCUUGGAGAACCGAACUGUGCAAUAUUUUUUACAUCAUAAGAUGUAUUAGUUUACAGGCUGUGCUUUGAAAUUAUAGUAGUAUUUUGCUGUGGCUCCAUGAAUUAAAUGAGAUAUAUAUUUAGUAUAGGGGAAAAAAGACAUUUAAAAUAGCUACUAGUUCACCUGUGAGGAAUCCGUACAUUUUGAUUUCUAUUGAGAGCACAUUAAUUUACAUUUUUAUAUUGUGCAGUUUUAGAUCCUCAUAGUCAAAAAAAUUCCCCAGAUAGACUUUUUUAAUUUGUAAGAUUUGAACCAUAACUUUUAUGUAUCUCUGUUAUGAAUUAGUUAUAUUACAUUUGAAAAGAGUGGCCUAUGUUUUAGCAAUCAAGUGUGCUAAGGUUUGUCAAUUUAAGCUGCUUUUGAUUUCAUUUACCAAGCUCACAGGUUCACUCUACACAUGUACUUACAGGCUUACAAAGUUAUGUACAUUUUAGUGAAUUCCAUCACAUGGUAAAAUGAAUAACUCUCUUUAUUGACUCUUAGAAAAUUAUCUUAGGACAUUUUUAUAAAAUCACCUGUUUAUAAUUAUACAUUUUCAAAUUCAAUUUCUUUUUACAUAAAACUGUAUACAUAUCAAAAAUUGUGGCUCAAAAAACAAUUGAGUUUUCAGCUUCUGGUUUGUUUUUUUUGUUUGUUUGUUUUGCUUUUUUAAAAUUGCAGUCAAGAAUGGUAUGUUUUAACUUUGCAUUUGUGGUUAUUUGGGCAUCCUUAGUAGAAACAAAAAAGUAAGGAAAUAAGAACAAAACACGCAUACCCAAAGACUUUUGAAUAUUUAAACCAAAGUGUAACAUCUUGAAAAAGUAUCUAAUCAUUUAAACCUAUAAAAUGAUACCAGAACAUACUGGGCUGUUUAUUAAACGUAGAUAAGAAAGACCUUGUUUUCAGAGUGACAGUGGAGUCACCACUGUAGGACUAAAUGGCCCCAUUGCACUGGUUCCAGCUGUCACUGGAACUUUGCCUCUUGAUCAGGUAAAACGCUUCACCAGUUAAUAAGCCAAGUUUUAUGUUUGUUUUUUUUUUAAUUUCCCUUUUAUCCUUCUGUAUUUUUAAAGAAGGCUAUUAAUUUUUUGUGCAUUUUUAAAAAUCUAAGCAGGGGGACAUGCAAAAACAAUCAUCAUCCACUUGGAUGUCAUUUUAUAGAUUAACACUGUGUGCUUUUGUAUGGAAAAAUAUAAUUUAAUAGUAUAAGAAAAGAAGAUAUAUAUUCAUUUGCACUCAUGUGAAACACAAACUUUGCUCUACAAAAUUUCGUGUUUUUCAGUGAUUUAAAACUGCAUGUAUUGCAUGUAAAGGAAAACUAUUGCACUUAAUGUUUAUCACACCUUUCUCUUGGUCCUUGUAAACCUUUGAUUUGGGUUUUGUGGGGGUUUUGUUGUUUUUGUUUUAAAUCACAGUAGACUUCUGUAUAUCCUGGAUCACUGAACCGGUCUUGUUGACAAAGAUUCCCAAGAAAUGGAUCUCUUGUCUGGCUAACCCGUCCAUGUCAAAAGAGGGUCCUUUCUGUAGGACCUAGUUCUGCAUACUGUGUUGUAGCCAGUUCAAAUACUGAAAGUUUAGGAUUUGUUGAAGGUCACUGUACUGCUAUAUUUUUGUAGAUACAGAAAACUCUUAAUAAAUUGUUAAUCUUGCACUUUUUGCUAUAUACAGUUAUUCAUAUCAUUCUUUUUUUCUUGACAUUGAACAGUUAACAUUUAAAUUUUCCUUCUAUACUUGUGUUGUCUGUGACUGCCCAUAUAGAGUUUUAUCGUCAUUGAAGUUUACCUGAAUACACAUGUGCGCACACACACACAUACUUCCUUAAUACUUCUGAACUCAUUAUCUUUUAAAAUAUUACACUUUACCAGCAAUUAACUCCCCCUACCCAAAAUGUUUCUCUUCUUCCUGUCUGAAAAUGGAACUAUUUGUCUUAUUCAUGCUGAUAUAUGUAUUAAAUGUAAUGAAGUAAUUUUUUUCAAAUGUAAAAAUUCACUGUGCAAUUCAUAUGUAAGCAAUAAAACAAAAAUUGAAUUACUUGUGUAUAAGUACAUUUUUAUAAUAGCUAUUACAUGUAUUUAAUUAAACUUAUUCAAUAUUUGCUUUAGUUAAAA